rnacentral:lncRNA from 1 species
GUUGCCUCGGGAGUACCGAGUUACUGAGGUUCAGACUUUCUUCAGAAAUGCCGAGGGGAGCUGAACAGCAGUUGAAAACGCAGAUAAAGAAAUACAUGGACCGUGCAAACAAAAAUCCUCACAUCAGAACGCAAGGGCAGCCUGAGCUAAACAGCUGGCUGGAUUUGCAUGAAAAUGGACUGCCCUUUUUCAUUUGUUUGUUCUUUGGAAAUUACAGUAGGAAAUCACCACAGGGAAUUUCUCCCACUUAGCUCGGCUCCCAGAGGAGUUGAAGGCUAUUAUGAAAUCGAACUUCCUAGGAGCUCACCAGGGAUAUUUUUAGUCUAUAAUUCAAGCCUUUGCCUGAAGGGUUUGUCUUGUGAUCAGCCAUCAACUGACCAGCUCCAGUGCUGAGGCUGCUGCACCCCUCUUGUCUGGUCGGCCACCAGCCCCAGCGAUGCUGCUCCUGGGGCUUUUCCCCAGAUUUAGACCAGAGCAAAACCUGGAGUCUCUCAGGGCUAUGAAGAGGAUUUUUGGUGCUGUGCGCAUGGUGGAGCUGAAGACCUGGUGAUGUCCUCAUGCACAGACACAAGGUAAAGCUGGCAAAAAGCCCUUGUAAAGGCAUGGGCUAAGAACUGGGCUAAACGUC